AAAGAAAUGGAAUGCUGAUAGUGCUACAACUUGGAUGAACCUUGAAAACGUUAUGCUACAUGAAAGAAGUUAGUUACAAAGGCCACAUAUUGUAUGAUCUCACUCAUGUGAAUAAAGAAACCUAUCGGGCAGAAAAUAGUGAUAUUUUUUAAGAGCCAGGAGGCAUAUAAAUGUUCUCAGGCCACCAUCUUGAACCAAGAGGUAUCAGAACCAAGAAAAGUGUUAAAUGCUUAAUCGCCAGCAACACUACUCUUGUACUUUGGGACUUUUAUUAGAUAAAGUAACUGUUCCUUGAACACAAGCACUGCCAUACCAGAAAGUCGAUGUGAUCGCAGAAAGGGCGGCUAAGUGACUCACAGGUGAAAAGCUGUUACAGCGUGGAUCUGCUGGACAAAGGGAAGAUUCAUGUCCUGAGAGGGACGGAACCUGACGGCCCAAGAUUUCAUCACACUACUCAGAACUGCAGGCAAGUUAAAACUUACGCAUUGUUUAUUUCUGGAAUUUUCCGUUUAGUAUUUUCGGCACAGGGUUGAUGGCAGGUAACAAACCAUGGAAACUGAAACUGUGGAUAAAGGGUGACUACCGUACCACACUGAUGUGAUGAACAUAUAGUGCGUUCCAAUAUCUGGUAAGUAAGUCCGCUCUCAAUUUUUUUAUCUUCAUAACUUUAUUAUCUUUUCUAA
rnacentral:lncRNA from 1 species